GACGGAGGAUGCAAGCGUUAUCCGGAAUUAUUGGGCGUAAAGCGUCCGCAGGUGGACUUACAAGUCUGCUGUCAAAGUGCAGAGCUUAACUCUGUAAAGGCGGUGGAAACUGUAGGUCUUGAGUAUGGUAGGGGUAGAGGGAAUUCCCGGUGUAGCGGUGAAAUGCGUAGAUAUCGGGAAGAACACCAGUGGCGAAAGCGCUCUACUGGGCCAUAACUGACACUGAGGGACGAAAGCUAGGGGAGCGAAAGGG
rnacentral:rRNA from 1 species